AUAAAAGAAAGCUAAUCUUAAACUAUACAUGUUUCAAAACACGCCAAAUACCAAUAGAUUAACAACGUCAUGCAUGCCAAAGAAACUUUGACAAAGGCUUUCCUAUACAGAUUUCAGCCUAAACUCGGAGUACCAACAUAGGCGCGCAUUCUGCUAUUUGAUCGUUUACGUCUAUACGCCAGUCUUUUGUUAUCAUAAUCCUUCAUCAUGAAUGUGAUCGACCCUGACGUUGGGCCAUGGGCCAGAGUUAGGCACCAGUGUUUAUGCCGCACACAGGGAGGUUUCGGACCCCGGUGCAAGAGGGACACGCGACACCUUUCGCGCAUCUGUUGGCAGCACCGCUUAAAUUACACAGAGGAGGAAAUAGAAGUGUUAAUUCGCAUGCGGCCAAUAAGAUGCCAAGCGAUGACCCUCAGAGGACAUCAAUGCUCACGAGAUGGCAGAAGACGCCAUGUCUUGAUGUACUGUACACAACACUAUAAUAUUCAUGCCGGCCCGGAGGUUAUGUCCGAUUCCGAUGAAUUCUAGCCUGGACCGGCAGACGUGAAAUAAGAGCUACCAUCAUACAAGGACUCCCAGUAUACAACAUAUUCUAAAUUCAUCUAUAAAACCAGCAUUCCUGACUUCCUGCCUAAUCCACACCAUAUUCACCGCCAGAAUUCCU